GGGAAACAGCUGAACAAGAGAGGCAGUAACUUACUGUCUCCGCCACUCCUACUGACUACAGCCAGACUCGGACCAUUCAAAUGCCAUCAACCUCAAUCCCAUAAACGAGGAAGGCCCCCAAGGGCCGAAAUGCGUUGGAGCAAUUUCCUAACACCAUCCACAACAGCGGCACGAUCAAGCAGAAGGAGCGGAACAAGAGACUGAACCCGGUCACGUGACUGAAGACCAGGAAGUGUCUGCGGGUCACGGACGACGGAGAAGCAUCGAGGAGACAGCCUGUCACUGACACAUCCAGCAGCGGAGGAGAACUAAGUAUUCUAACUGUCACCAUGUAUCUUGCACUCCAGUGCAUUGAUGGGACGCGCCGGGUGGUCUGUAUAUCGUUUGCCCGGCAACAAUGACGUCAUCCCCCGCAGCUGGACGCUGACGCCGCCGGAGACUCCCCGCCCUCCGCGCCCUCUCGGUUUACCUGGCGUGUGUAAAGUAUUUAAGAUUCUAGCUUGCGUUGCUGUGGAGUUAACAAGCUGAUGAGAGAGCUAAUGAGAUAACAACAAGUUGACUCUUGAAAAUUGUUCCUUCCCUUGAAAGUGAAUCUUUGUGCGAGACAAGUGUUGGCCGUUUGCUGAUGCCACAUCCAAUUAUGAGAGACGAGGAACUUGCAAAAGAUACUUAGAAGUUGUCAGC